UUCUGGUGCCACAGAUCAGAGUUGGAAAUCCCAUUACCUUUGAAGGAAUAUGUUGAAAGCACUUUCAAUCAAUAUCAACGUGAGGCCAUAACAGCUGGUCUUUUACCUAAAGCCUUUGUCUUGAUACAGGGGCCCCCAGGGACUGGGAAGACUCAGACCAUACUUGGACUUCUUAGUACCAUUUUGCAUGCAACUCCAGCAAGAGUGCAUUCUAAGUAUGGUUCUCUCUAG